rnacentral:rRNA from 1 species
AGAGUUUGAUCCUGGCUCAGAACGAACGCUGGCGGCGUACUUAACACAUGCAAGUCGAACGAGAACGGGGGCUUCGGUCCCUUAGUAAAGUGGCGAACGGGUGCGUAACACGUAAGUAAUCUGCCCCAGACUCUGGGAUAACGUUUCGAAAGAGGCGCUAAUACCGGAUAGUUUCCAGGGACACAAGUUGCUGGAGGAAAGUUAGCUUGCUUGCGGUCUGGGAUGAACUUGCGGCCCAUUAGCUAGUUGGUAGGGUUAAAGCCUACCAAGGCGACGAUGGGUAGCUGGUCUGAGAGGAUGAUCAGCCACACUGGCACUGAGACACGGGCCAGACUCCUACGGGAGGCAGCAGUGGGGAAUUUUGCGCAAUGGGCGAAAGCCUGACGCAGUAACGCCGCGUGGAGGAUGAAGGCCUUAGGGUUGUAAACUCCUGACUGGGGGAAAGAUAAUGACGGUACCCCCAAAGAAAGCCCCGGCUAAUUCCGUGCCAGCAGCCGCGGUAAUACGGAAGGGGCGAGCGUUGUUCGGAAUCAUUGGGCGUAAAGGGCGUGUAGGCGGUUUCAUAUGUCCGCUGUGAAACAACACGGCUCAACCGUGUAGAGCGGCGGAAACUGUGAGACUUGAGGCUGGGAGGGGCUGGUGGAAUUCCCUGUGUAGCGGUGAAAUGCGUAGAGAUGGGGGAGAACACUCGUGGCGAAGGCGGCCAGCUGGACCAGUUCUGACGCUGAGACGCGAAAGCGUGGGGAGCAAACAGGAUUAGAUACCCUAGUAGUCC